GAUUUCUCUAUGUCAGAGAAACACCUCCCCACAUCCAAACACACAUUGGAAAUGAGGCCUUUUCCCUUUGUAUUUCAACAGAAUCUUUCUGCUCUGCUCUCGUGAAUUCAUCCUUGUCUCUGCUGGUCAGUUUGACAUCAUGGGAUGAGCUCUGGAGAGCUCUGCCAUCCUCUCCCAAAACCUUUGGGAAAGCAGGUGGGAGCUCAAGCCCACGGCAAAGGACAAGUGGGAAUUGCCACGGAAUCUUGCUGCCAGUCCCUGGGAGAACCAAGGCCUGCUGCAGAGCAAAAUCCACAAACUACGGAGACAACCAGGAGGGGAAAUUUGUCCCCUCAUGUAAAUCCAUUUUUGCCUUGUAAAGCUGCAUUCCCGAGCCAGCAGCUGCUCCAAAGGGCCGAUCCCAGACCCCCCAUUUCACUCCAGACACCCCCGAGGCUGUUUGGGUUACAGGAUCACCCCAGGACAGCCCAGGUGUGCCAGCCAGCUGGUUUGGGACCACGGAAUGGACACACCAGAGCCGAAUGCCAGCGUGAGGCCGAAGGCAGCCGCCACUUUCCCAGGGAUUUUCCCUUUGCUGUGUGUUUGGAAGGUUACACAGCUGUAAGGCAGACACAGGAGGAGCUGGAAGCCUGCAGGGAUCGUUGCCUCCAUCCCACAUGUCCCAUGGAAGGAAGCUCUCCCGUGGACUGACAUCCCAUUAACUCCUGCUGGUGGGAGCCGAUUCCUGGGGCUGGAAAUCCUUUGGAGCCUCCAAGUGCCGGCCGCUCAUCCCGCAGAUAACUCCAGCCCCAUCCCUGACCCGGUGACUUAUAUUUAUUUUCUCAUUUUAUAAGAACCAGGCUCUUCCCUGCUCUCAUUCCUGGUGGGAACGAGGAGCACUGGCCGGGUGUGAGGCUGCUCCGUCUGGGAUACCCGAGAUGGAAAACUGGGAUCUCGUCCAACAGGCUGUCUGUCUUCCUGGGAAAAACCUCGGCUCCACACGCUCCCAAUUGUGCCAUCAGCUGGAGCGAGGUGGAACUUCACAGGAUGGGAUGAACCAGCCCUUUUUCCAAAACCACCUGUGAGGACACAAAGUCCUUCCAGAGCCCAGGAGAGCUCAGGGAGGAAAAUCUGGAGGGCACAAAGCCUGGCAAAACUUGGCAAAGGGCUCGGUGCUCUCUGGAAGGUGGCAGAUCUCUGCCCAGGUCCCCAUCAAAUCUAAGAGAUGCAAUACUGGGAAGGAAUUCCUCCCUGUGAGGGUGGGCAGGCCCGAGAAGCUGUGGCUGGCCCUGGAUCCCUGGAAGUGUCCGAGGCCAGGUUGGACGGGGCUUGGAGCAGCCUGGGAAAUGUGUCUCUGCACAGUGGAAGGGGUCCGUGCCCACAGCAGGGGUGGCCCAGGACGAUCUUUAGGAUCCCUUUCCCACCAAAACCAUUCCAUGUCUGCCCCCACUUCCCGCCAUCGGCCCUGCCCUCAGGGACUGACCCCCGGGGUCUCCCGG
rnacentral:lncRNA from 1 species